rfam:Desulfotomaculum acetoxidans DSM 771, complete genome.
UUAAUAUAAUUUUCCUUUCUGUAGAAAGUCGGUGUCAAAAGACUUAAGGGUGAAAACCGCCGGCCGAGGUAAGGGUCUGUUUCUCAUGCACAUGAGUGGGCCUCUGUUUUCUGCAGGGGUCUUUAAUAUUUUUGUGG